UGUGUAGGCGGUGCCCUAAGUCUGUUGUGAAAUCUCCCGGCUCAACUGGGAGGGUGCGGCGGAAACUGGGGUGCUCGAGGGAUGGAGAGGUAAGCGGAAUUCCUGGUGUAGCGGUGAAAUGCGUAGAUAUCAGGAGGAACACCUGUGGUGUAGACAGCUUACUGGACAUUUUCUGACGCUGAGACACGAAAGCGUGGGUAGCAAACAGGAUUAGAUACCCUGGUAGUCCACGCCCUAAACGAUGCAUACUUGGUGUGAGCCAUUCAUUUGGUUCGUGCCGGAGCUAACGCGUUAAGUAUGCCGCCUGGGGAGUACGGUCGCAAGGCUGAA
rnacentral:rRNA from 1 species